UCCUUAAACCAGGUUUCAUAUGGGAUGAGGUAAGAUUGAUGAAAUACGCCCCACUCCUACUCAAUGUGAAUGGUCAUUUUCUUUCUAUUUGUACCUGAUGAAACGUAACUUACUGGUGUGGUUUUGAGAACCAAAUAAUUGGUGCAUCUUCAUAAAUUUAUUCUUUUAAUCUCUUUAUUUUUAUACAAACUGUACUUAUAAUUCAACUGUUGCUGUAUCUUGGACUCUUGGUGCAGGAGGUGGAGUGGUGCUUCUUUAUGCUUCUAAAUAUGAUGAUGUUAAAUUAGUUGUCAACAUCUCUGGACGCUAUGAUCUGAAGACAGGAGUUGAAGAUAGACUUGGAAAAGAUUAUAUGGAAAGAAUCAAGAAGGACGGUUUCAUUGACGUGAAGAAUAGGUCAGUAAGUUUUAAUUACCGUGUGGCGGAGGAAAGUUUGAUGGAUCGCUUAGGUACAAAUAUUCAUGAAGCAUGCCUUAACAUUGAUAAAGAUUGCAGCAGGGAAAGCUUUCUGAAAAUGAUUCUAGGCGCUACUUUCAACAACUUAUAGAUGAUGUUGCUCAUUGGAAGAGGACACUACUUUAAUUGGUCUAACAUUCGGUGGUUACCUUAGACCAAAGAUAAAAUGCAUAAAAUGUGGAGGAAAAUCUGAGCGUCAGGAAAGGAUGAUGGAUCUUACCGUUGAGACAGAAGGGGACAUAGCAAUCCUAUAGGAAGCUCAUGAUGGAUCUUACCGUUGAGACAGAAGGGGACAUAGCAAUCCUAUAGGAAGCUCAUUUUGAGUUUAUAGGCUUGUAGACAUUUUUGUUAUUUAUAUUUGUAACAUGA